rnacentral:rRNA from 1 species
AGUGAACGCUGGCGGUAGGCCUAACACAUGCAAGUCGAACGGCAGCACAGUAAGAGCUUGCUCUUACGGGUGGCGAGUGGCGGACGGGUGAGGAAUACAUCGGAAUCUACUUUUUCGUGGGGGAUAACGUAGGGAAACUUACGCUAAUACCGCAUACGACCUACGGGUGAAAGCAGGGGAUCUUCGCACCUUGCGCGAUUCAAUGAGCCGAUGUCGGAUUAGCUAGUUGGCGGGGUAAAGGCCCACCAAGGCGACGAUCCGUAGCUGGUCUGAGAGGAUGAUCAGCCACACUGGAACUGAGACACGGUCCAGACUCCUACGGGAGGCGGCAGUGGGGAAUAUUGGACAAUGGGCGAAAGCCUGAUCCAGCCAUACCGCGUGGGUGAAGAAGGCCUUCGGGUUGUAAAGCCCUUUUGUUGGGAAAGAAAAGCAGCAGGUUAAUACCCCGCUGUUCUGACGGUACCCAAAGAAUAAGCACCGGCUAACUUCGUG